rnacentral:rRNA from 1 species
GACGAACCGUGCGAACGUUGUUCGGAUUCACUGGGCUUAAAGGGCGCGUAGGCGGGCCCGCAAGUCAGGGGUGAAAUCCCACGGCUCAACCGUGGAAGUGCCUUUGAUACUGCGGAUCUCGAGGGAGGUAGGGGCGUGCGGAACUUCCGGUGGAGCGGUGAAAUGCGUAGAUAUCGGAAGGAACACCGGUGGCGAAAGCGGCGCGCUGGACCUCUUCUGACGCUGAGGCGCGAAAGCCAGGGGAGCAAAGCGGG